rnacentral:rRNA from 1 species
GCUAGGAUGAACGCUAGCGACAGGCUAACACAUGCAAGUCGAGGGGCGGCAUAAAAGUAGCAAUACUUGGUGGCGACCGGCGCACGGGUGAGUAACGCGUAUGCAACCUACCUAUCAGAGGGGAAUAACCGGCGAAAGUCGGACUAAUACCGCAUAAAACAGGGGCACCGCAUGGUGAUAUUUGUUAAAGAAAUUCGCUGAUAGAUGGGCAUGCGUUCCAUUAGGUAGUUGGUGAGGUAACGGCUCACCAAGCCGACGAUGGAUAGGGGAACUGAGAGGUUGGUCCCCCACACUGGUACUGAGACACGGACCAGACUCCUACGGGAGGCAGCAGUGAGGAAUAUUGGUCAAUGGGCGGGAGCCUGAACCAGCCAAGUCGCGUGAAGGAAGAAGGAUCUAUGGUUCGUAAACUUCUUUUGCAGGGGAAUAAAGUGCAGGACGUGUCCUGUUUUGUAUGUACCCUGAGAAUAAGGAUCGGCUAACUCCGUGCCAGCCGCCGC